AAAUCUCAGAAAUGGAUAUCCCAAAACAUGGGAAAAUACAAGCAAAACGAACAUGACUAAACACCAUCAGAAAAUAUUUGACUUUUGUAAUUUUGGGUGAACUGACCCUUUAAGCACAGUGCCGCCAGCUUAGCAUGGGACAUCUAAUUAACGUUACUAGUUACACCUGUGCGUUUUGGGUUAUAUGACAAGUCAAAACGCCAUGUAAAACCGAUUGUGUUAUAGGUACAGUAGUUUGUAUAAGGUAGUUUGUAUGCGGCUAGGUCAGUUCAUAAUCAGUGUCUCGGUACAGUUAAUCUGGAAGUAACAGCAGGACCUUUUGCAACGGUCAACAGGAGUAUUUGCGGAAUCAAUAUUCAGAUUUUUCCCCGGUACUUCACGUUACAGAGAGAUAUCACAACAGCAACACUGGAACCACACCUUAGAGGACCCCACGUUCCAGUCUCACUCAAACUCUACGAUAUUUAUCCCACCCCUUUGAAAUGCAGUGCCAUGCCCUCGGGAAACAAACCACGGUGACGCAAAGGAGGGCUUCAACUUAAAGCUGGCUUAUGUGGGAGGGCGACCUGCUCCAACUCCCCUUUGUGACUCCCCCUACCUCCCUCCCCACAGCGCCAUCCUCCACCAGCUCCUGAGUAUUGACCCAAGCUGUCACCCUGACCGGCACCCCUGACCCCCCUCAGCGGCAGGGGAUCCAUGGCGGGGCCGAAGGUUCAAAUGAUUUUCCUCUACCUCUUGCAGUCCUGUUUUCCCAGUGAGCUGAUUGCUAAUGACAAUAUUAGAAAAGGGAAUAAUGGAGAUUCCACAAACAAUUUGCCCCUUGGAUUUGCAAACCUAAAUGUCUGCACAAGUUACAAAAGAGUGAUGGAUGAUUAUUUGUGUUUGCACAUGUGGUAAAGUUAAAACUGGGAGUAGAAAAUAUUUGGUGUUUCAAAACUGUGGGCCUCUGUGGGCUUUAGGCUUGGUGCAGUUUGUUCUUGAAAAGAUAGUCAUUAACUGAAAUAGUAAUGCAAUUACACUGAAUUCUUGUUCAUUAGUAAUGAAAAACUGUGCAGAUGGGGUGUCCUGGUGGCACAGAUGUUUAAGGAACUGACCAUGUACAGUAAUCACAACAUGCCCAGUUUGAGUCCAGGCAGGGACUUACUGUAUGUUGCUCUACAUCCAUCAUCUCUCUCCCGUCAUUUCAUUUCAUUUCUCUACUAUCCACUAUCAAAAUAAA